GGUGAACGCUGGCGGUAGGCCUAACACAUGCAAGUCGAACGGCAGCACAGUAAGAGCUUGCUCUUACGGGUGGCGAGUGGCGGACGGGUGAGGAAUACAUCGGAAUCUACUUUUUCGUGGGGGAUAACGUAGGGAAACUUACGCUAAUACCGCAUACGACCUACGGGUGAAAGCAGGGGAUCUUCGGACCUUGCGCGAUUGAAUGAGCCGAUGUCGGAUUAGCUAGUUGGCGGGGUAAAGGCCCACCAAGGCGACGAUCCGUAGCUGGUCUGAGAGGAUGAUCAGCCACACUGGAACUGAGACACGGUCCAGACUCCUACGGGAGGCAGCAGUGGGGAAUAUUGGACAAUGGGCGCAAGCCUGAUCCAGCCAUACCGCGUGGGUGAAGAAGGCCUUCGGGUUGUAAAGCCCUUUUGUUGGGAAAGAAAAGCAGCAGGUUAAUACCCCGCUGUUCUGACGGUACCCAAAGAAUAAGCACCGGCCAACUUCGUG
rnacentral:rRNA from 1 species